CACGGGGGGAGCAAGCGUUGUUCGGAAUCACUGGGCGUAAAGGGCGCGUAGGCGGUUUGUUAAGUCAGCUGUGAAAGCCCGGGGCUCAACCCCGGAGGGUCAGCUGAUACUGGCAGACUAGAGUACAGAAGAGGUAACUGGAAUUCCCGGUGUAGCGGUGAAAUGCGUAGAUAUCAGGAGGAACACCUGCGGUGUAGACGGCUCUCUGGACCACUACUGACGCUGAAACACGAAAGCGUGGGUAGCAAACAGG
rnacentral:rRNA from 1 species